AUUGAACGCUGGCGGAAUGCUUUACACAUGCAAGUCGAACGGCAGCACGGACUUCGGUCUGGUGGCGAGUGGCGAACGGGUGAGUAAUGUACCGGAACGUAUCCAAUAAUGGGGGAUAACUAGUCGAAAGAUUAGCUAAUACCGCAUACGCCCUACGGGGGAAAGCUAGGGACCUUCGGGCCUGGCGUUAAUGGAGCGGCCGAUAUCUGAUUAGCUAGUUGGUGAGGUAAAAGCUCACCAAGGCGACGAUCAGUAGCUGGUCUGAGAGGACGACCAGCCACACUGGAACUGAGACACGGUCCAGACUCCUACGGGAGGCAGCAGUGGGGAAUUUUGGACAAUGGGCGAAAGCCUGAUCCAGCCAUUCCGCGUGAGUGAAGAAGGCCUUCGGGUUGUAAAGCUCUUUCGCAAGAGAAGAAAACUUACCCUCUAACAUAGGGUGAGGCUGACGGUAUCGUGAUAAGAAUCACCGGCUAACUACGUGCCAGCAGCCGCAGUAA
rnacentral:rRNA from 1 species